rnacentral:misc_RNA from 1 species
AGAACGGAUUAUACAACCUAAAGUGCUUCCCAAAGCAAAACCUGGGAGCUCAUAAAUAGAAAUCGCUCCCAACAGAGUGAUGCAUUAUCUCUACAUUGCAUAAAUUAUAAAUGAACAGAAAACAGCCGCUGCAGUGUUAAUCAUAAAAUGCAGAGUAUGGAGGAUAAUGCAACCAAGAAACUAUUUACUGUAGAGAGAGCUCAUCUACCCAACAUGUUCAGUCAAAACUGAAUCAAUUGGAAAAGAUCCUUCCAGACAGGGAGCGCUAGUAGCUCAAAACACUUGGCUGUGAACCAUGUGUUACAGAAAUACAACAGUCAAAUUGACCUCUGACCCUGUCAAGUAUGAACCUAUUGGCCUAAGUGAACACAGUUAUCAACAAUUCUAUCCUCUUUUGCUAGUAACAUAAGCCUAGCUUAGCAUGUGUGCACCUUCCUCAGUAUUCA